rnacentral:rRNA from 1 species
UACAUAGGGUGCAAGCGUUGUCCGGAAUUAUUGGGCGUAAAGAGCUCGUAGGUUGUUUGUCGCGUCGAUUGUGAAAAUCUGAGGCUCAACCUCAGACCUGCAGUCGAUACGGGCAGACUAGAGUGUGGUAGGGGAGACUGGAAUUCCUGGUGUAGCGGUGGAAUGCGCAGAUAUCAGGAGGAACACCAAUGGCGAAGGCAGGUCUCUGGGCCAUAACUGACACUGAGGAGCGAAAGUGCGGGGAGCGAACAGGAUUAGAUACCCUGGUAGUCCGCACCGUAAACGGUGGGCACUAGUUGUGGGAACCUUCCACGGUUUCCGCGACGCAGCAAACGCAUUAAGUGCCCCGCCUGGGGAGUACGAUCGCAAGAUUAAA